CCAAGAACAGAAAAAUCCUAUUAAAUUCAACUAAAAUGGACCAUUGCUAAGGCAAUUUAUAAUCAAAUUCACCAAAUACACAAACAAGGAAAAAGUCUUGAAAUCAGCAAGGGGAAAAGAGUCCUUAAUGUACAAGGAAGACAGAUCAAGUUCACAGCAGAUCUGUUCACAGAAACAUGGCAGUCCAGAAAGGAGUGGGAGGAAAUAUUCAAAAUGCUGAAUGGGGAAAAUAUGCAGCCAAUAAUUCUUUAUCCAACAAAGUUGUCAUCCAGACUAGAAGUAGAGACAGUUUCCUAGACAAACAAAAAAUAAAGGAAUCCAUGACAACUAAACCAGCCAUGCAAGAAAUUUUAAGACUAUUUGAGGUGGGUGGGGA